CUAUGCUUCAAAGUUGUUGAGACGGGUAACGUUAUGAGGUCUGCAUCUGCUAGUGUGGCAUUCACUGAUGUUGUUUAGCUUGCAAUAGGCCUCAGACCUACAAGCUUAUGGUAAAGCUUCUUACCAGGCUUAGCCUUUAAGUUCCUAAAUGUAUUUCUAGCGUUCCCUUUUUGGUAUACAAUAUUGAUGUUGUUUUGCUAGCCACACACUUAAUUGCUUUCCAAGUCUAUCUUUUCUUUAUAUUGUGCUGAGUACUGCCAUAAUAGAUUUUGCAUGUUGCAUAAAUUCACCAUGCCCAACCCAUGUACUACCACUUAUCCAGACUUUCAACACUUAAAAACUAUGGAGUUAGUAAUGUUUGUAUGGCAUCUAGAAGCUAAGCACAAACACCACAUCCAUACAGUAGAUUGAGGAAUAUUACCUGGGUAGACCCCACUUAAGUGACUCUUACACCCCCGGUAUGAGUAGUUGCUUGGAUUUUGCCCUGAUGUAUAUGCAUGUAAGUGCAACAUUAGAUGAGUAUACACAUAUAUAGACUGUUUCUAAUAAAACUGUCCAACAAUGGUUGACCCAUAAUGUGGAAAACACCCUCUUUCUUUUUUUUAAUUUAAUUUUACCUUAAGUUCCAGGAUACAAGUGCAGAACGUGUAGGAUUGUUACAUGGGUAUACAUGUGCCAUGGUGGUUUGCUGCACCUAUCAACCCGUCAUCUAAGUUUUAAGCCCUGCAUGCAUUAGCUAUUUGUCCUAAUGCUCUCCCUCCCCUCACCCCUCAUUCUGACUGGCCACGGUGUGUGUCGUUCCCCUCCCUGUGUCCAUGUGUUCUCAUUGUUCAGCUCCCAAUUAUGAGUGAGAACAUGUGGUGUUUGGUUUUCUAUUCCUGUCUUAGGUUGCUAAGGAUGAUGGCUUCCAGCUUCAUCCAUGUCCCUGCAAAGGACAUAAUCUUAUUCCUUUUUAUGGCUGCAUAGUAUUCCAUGGGAAAGCACCCUCUUUCUGAAUGCAUUUAAGAAUCAGUCGAGCAGGCUGCAAGGGAGACCUGCAGAGGGUGGAAAGUAGGACUGGAUGACCUUCAUGUCCCCUUCUUGUCUUUAAAUUACUAAGAUUCUAAGUCUUUGCUUGAUAAUCCAUUUAUCUUGAAUUCUCUUCCAACCUUCUUCUUAAAUCUUUGGCUUCCAAAAGUCACCUCAGACAUUGUCUUUCUCUUUCAGUGAUUCUUGUCUGACAUCGCUGUGUUUCUCCAAGGUGAAUCAGCUGUCCCAUCUCAGUGUCCUCAAUUAAGAUAGUAUAUACUACUAGCUUACAACAUGAGACACUUGUUUUAACUAAGAGUGAUUAAAUUUUUUUCUCUAAAAGUUACAUAAGUGCAUUGUAGAAAAAUUUAAAAAUAGAAACCAGAAUACCAACAAUUGAUACAAUAUUAAAUAGUAAAUAGAAUGUCCAGAUACUGUUCUGUUAAUGUUUACACCAAUCCUAUAGUAUAGGUACUAUUAUUCUAUUUUACAGGUGAGAAAACAGAUACAAGUUGAGUGUCUGUUUUACAGUAGCUUGGUCAGAAUGUCAUUAUUAUUAUUAUUAUUGUUCUUAUUGGUUAAUGGAUAGGUGAAAGUUGCAUUACGUUUUUGCUUUAACCAACUCUAUAUUAAUGAUUUAUUUACAUGUUCCUCAUCUCCUCUGAAGUCUUUAAGGGAAAGGAUGAUCUUGUCUCUGUGGCCCCAGCACUAAGAAGGGGGUCUAGUAUGAUAGCAGAUUUAAAAAAAUUAUUGAAAGGAUAUGCAAAAUCUUACCAUAUGAGUUCUUACAACUGCAUGUGGAUCUACCAUUAUCUUAACAUAAAAAGUUAAAGAAUAUUACUCUGCAUUGACAUAGCCCCAGUCCCCACUUUGAAGGAAAGAUAAUGAAUAACCUUUGAGGAACAGUGGCUGGGAUUUAUAGAGAUUUUCCUUGUUGACAGAGAUUUACAGGCAGCAUAGUACAGUACAAAGAACACUGGAAUGCAUACAAACUUGGUUUUGUAUUCUAGUUACAAAGUUUGGGCAAAUUACUUAGCCUCUUGUAGGUUCUGUUUUCGCAUCCAUAAAAUGGGUUACUGGAACAUCUGCUAAUAUAAAAAGAAUACUUCUCUAUUUUUCCCUGGUCUAUGCCUAAACCUUGGCACAUAAUAAGUACGCCUCAAAAGAUAGUCAUCUUUCCCUCAUCUAGCCACCUCCUACCCCAAUUCCUGACUCUCCACCUAUAACACACAAAUAAGUUCAUUUUUAUUACCUGUAGAGUUUCUUAGCACAGAAAUAAUGGUUACAUUCUUAGUCCACCAUUAACAUUAAUUCCUUUAUGUGAAGGCAGCACUGACUGAUAACAUUUUCUAUGUGGAUGGUAAUGUUCUUAUGGCUUAAAACAUGGCAAGUGCCACAGAGGAAUGGAAAUUUUAAAUUUGAUUUAAUUUUAAUUAAUAUAUAUUUAAUCAAUGUGUAUAUUAAUAUAAUUAAUUAAUAUAUAUAUAUUUUUGAGACAGGAUCUGGCUCUGUCACCCAUGCUGGAGUGCAGGGCACGAUCUUAGCUCACUGCAACCUCCACCUUCUGAACUCAAGCCAUCUUCCCACCUCAGCCUCCCAAGGAGCCAGGACUAUAGGUGUGGCCACCAUGCCUGGCUAAUUUUUUUUUUUUUUUUUUUUUGUAGAGAUUAGAUUUCACCAUGUUGUCCAGGCUGAUCUCAAACUCUUGAGCUGUAGCGAUCUACCUGCUUUGGACUCCCAGAAUGCUGGGACUACAGGCGUAAGCGCCCGCACCUGGCCUUAAUUAAUUUAUAUUUAAAUUUGAACAGUCACAUGUGGCUAGUGGCUACCAUGUUGGACAGGGCAGUGUUAAGCUAUCAGCUGCGUCCAGAUCCGUCUCUUUUAAGUACACAAGGUUCUUAAACCUCUUAAUCAAAUGAGUUUGCCAGCAUAAACUGGCCUGCUACUUCUGAGACUAAAAAGGAAUGUGACAGGGAGAAAGGAAUUUUGAUAAAAUGAAUAGGAUGAUGGGACAGGAUUGAGAAGCAUGAGCAAGUAGAGAGCAGGCUUGGGAUGGGGGCAUUUCAGAAUGGAUUCAGGAUGGCUUGGGGAGAAUAAUAUUGAAAGAGUCGAACUAAGGCAAAUCGUAGGAAUAGCAAGAGUACUGAAAAUAAACAACUUUACAAAUUUACCCAGACCUAGUUCUGAAAGGCAGAGGGAGAGAGGGAGGCAGAAGGGAACUUUGGCAUUUACUUGGGAAACUACAUUUCCUUUAGGGC
rnacentral:lncRNA from 1 species